CCUACGGGAGGCAGCAGUGAGGAAUAUUGGUCAAUGGGAGAGAUCCUGAACCAGCCAAGCCGCGUGAGGGAAGACGGCCCUAUGGGUUGUAAACCUCUUUUGUCGGAGAACAAAACCCGGGACGAGUCCCGGACUGCGUGUAUCCGAAGAAAAAGCAUCGGCUAACUCCGUGCCAGCAGCCGCGGUAAUACGGAGGAUGCGAGCGUUAUCCGGAUUUAUUGGGUUUAAAGGGUGCGUAGGCGGUCUGUUAAGUCAGCGGUAAAAUGGCGGGGCUCAACCCCGUCGAGCCGUUGAAACUGGCAGACUUGAGUUGGCGAGAAGUACGCGGAAUGCGCGGUGUAGCGGUGAAAUGCAUAGAUAUCGCGCAGAACUCCGAUUGCGAAGGCAGCGUACCGGCGCCAGACUGACGCUGAGGCACGAAAGCGUGGGGAUCGAACAGGAUUAGAUACCCUAGUAGUC
rnacentral:rRNA from 1 species